UUGGUCCCGAUACAAGUGUGGUGU
rnacentral:siRNA from 1 species